rnacentral:rRNA from 1 species
UAGGGAAUCUUCCGCAAUGGACGAAAGUCUGACGGAGCAACGCCGCGUGAGUGAAGAAGGAUUUCGGUUCGUAAAACUCUGUUGUUAGGGAAGAAAAAAUGUAUAGUAACUAUAUACAAAAGAGACGGUACCUAACCAGAAAGCCACGGCUAACUACGUGCCAGCAGCCGCGGUAAUACGUAUGGAGCAAGCGUUAUCCGGAUUCAUUGGGCGUAAAGCGCUCGUAGGCGGUCUGUUAGGUCGGCAAGUUAAAUCCGGGGGCUCAACCCCCGGCCGCUUCCGAUACCGGCAGACUUGAGUUUGGUAGGGGAAGGUGGAAUUCCUAGUGUAGCGGUGGAAUGCGCAGAUAUUAGGAAGAACACCGGUGGCGAAGGCGGCCUUCUGGGCCAUAACUGACGCUGAGGAGCGAAAGCUAGGGGAGCGAACAGG